AUUGAACGCUGGCGGCAUGCCUUACACAUGCAAGUCGAACGGUAACAGCACUUCGGUGGCUGACGAGUGGCGAACGGGUGAGUAAUACAUCGGAACGUGCCCGAGAGUGGGGGAUAACGCAGCGAAAGCUGUGCUAAUACCGCAUACGAUCUACGGAUGAAAGCAGGGGAGUUCGCAAGGACCUUGCGCUAUCAGAUGAGCCUGCGUAGGAUUAGCUUGUUGGUGAGGUAAAGGCUCACCAAGGCGACGAUCCUUAGCUGGUCUGAGAGGAUGAUCAGCCACACUGGAACUGAGACACGGUUCAGACUCCUACGGGAGGCAGCAGUGGGGAAUAUUGGACAAUGGGCGGAAAGCCUGAUCCAGCCACGCCGCGUGGGUGGAUGAAGGCCUCGUG
rnacentral:rRNA from 1 species